rnacentral:rRNA from 1 species
AACGAACGCUGGCGGCGUGCUUAACACAUGCAAGUCGAACGAGAAAGCGGGCUUCGGUCCGCUAGUAAAGUGGCAGACGGGUGAGUAACACGUGGGUAACCUGCCCGGAGGUGGGGGACAACCCUCCGAAAGGAGGGCUAAUACCGCAUGAUAUCCCUGAGGCUUCGGCCUUGAGGAUCAAAGCUAGCCUCUACAUGUAAGCUAGCUCCACCGGAGGGGCCCGCGGCCCAUUAGCUAGUUGGGAGGUAACGGCUCACCAAGGCGACGGUGGGUAGCCGGCCUGAGAGGGUGUUCGGCCACACUGGAACUGAGACACGGUCCAGACUCCUACGGGAGGCAGCAGUGAGGAAUCUUGCGCAAUGGGCGAAAGCCUGACGCAGCGACGCCGCGUGGAGGACGAAGGUCUUCGGAUCGUAAACUCCUGUCAA